UACUCCCUCCGUCCCAAUAAUGAAGUCCCCUUUCUUUUGGGCACGGGUAUUUAGGAGAGUUAAAGUAGAUGUAAAAACAGUGGGGACCACAUAAUUAGUGUUUUAAUUAGUAUUAUUUUAUUUCUUAAUUAACACUCACACAAAACACUCAAUCGCUAAAUCGCAGAGCCGCCUCCUCCGGCAACUCCGCCGCCAGCCUCCCUCUGAAAUCCGGCAGCCGCAGCGGUUAGCAAGGCCAACACAACAAGCUUCGAUUUCCGGCAGCCGCAGCGGUUAGCAAAGCCGCCAAUCGCCUCCCCCUUUCUCCUAACCUUCAUCUCUCUAAAUCACACUGAAACUCUAGAUCUCUACAUCUGCCCCUCAAGCUUCGAUUUCCGGCGUCCGCACUGACGCUCCUCAAGCUUCGAUUCACCUCUCUCCCGAAGCUUCGAUUCACGAUCCUCAAGCUUCAAUUCACGCUCCUCCGCCCCUCAAGCUUCGAUUCACCUCUCUCCCCCGACUGACGCUCACACAUCAACACCAACUGCACAAGCCAACACAACAAGCCAACACAACAACACCUCUCUCCGCGAACCGCCGCUGCUGUGCUCGAUUUCCGGCGAGGUAGCAGGAGCUCCACCUUCGUCGCUCCAUCUGGUCGAAUUUAAAGGUUUCUGGAAUUGGGGAAGGAAAACGGGCGGCGGUCGUAGGGGGAAGGAGGCCGGUGGCGUGAGGGAAGGAAGGCCGGCGGCGAGCCUUGUUUCAGAGAGAAAAGGCGAGGAGAGAGAGAGACGGGAAAGGAGGGAGGCGGUGAAAUUGGGGGUUGGGUGGAGACCCUCGCCGCUGCUGAGGGGCCGGCGAUUCGCCGCCCUUAUUCCUGCUGAGAGGCGGUGGAGGCGGCGAGGCGGUGGAAGGUGGAGGCGGCGAGGCGGUGAAAGAAGAAGAGGAGAGAGGGGGGAGAUGACGAUUUGAGAGAGAGAGGAGAGAAGUGAGGAGAGAGAGAGAUAAUUAAAUGUAUUAAUUGUAUGCUAAUUAAUGCCAAAAAAGGAAAGGGGACUUGAAUAUUGGGACGGCCCAAAAAGGAAUACGGGACUUGAAUAUUGGGACGGAGGGAGUA
rnacentral:lncRNA from 1 species